GAUGAACGCUGGCGGCGUGCUUAACACAUGCAAGUCGAGCGAGAAGUUUUGAAAAGAUUCUUCGGAUGAAAUUUAAAAUGGAAAGCGGCGGACGGGUGAGUAACGCGUACGCAACCUGCCCCAUACAAAGGGAUAGCAUUUGGAAACGAAUAUUAAUACCUUAUGAAACUUAACUAGUGCAUGCUGGGUAGGUCAAAGAUUUAUCGGUAUGGGAUGGGCCUGCGUCUGAUUAGCUAGUUGGUGAGGUAACGGCUCACCAAGGCGACGAUCAGUAGCCGACCUGAGAGGGUGAACGGCCACAUUGGAACUGAGACACGGUCCAAACUCCUACGGGAGGCAGCAGUGAGGAAUAUUGCACAAUGGGGGAAACCCUGAUGCAGCAACGCCGCGUGAACGAUGAAGGCCUUUGGGUCGUAAAGUUCUGUUCUAGGUGAUGAAAACUGACAGUAACCUAGGAGAAAGCCCCGGCUAACUCCGUG
rnacentral:rRNA from 1 species